rnacentral:lncRNA from 1 species
GCCCAACAGAGAUCUCCCUUGUCCUUUGAAGAAUAUGUCUUGUGGUAGAACGGAUACGUUGUAGUACCGUCGUGUGUUUGGUAGAAGAGAUACUUUGUCCGUCAUUUCCUAGCCCACGUUUACAGCUGCUGCUGCUCACUCAACGGCUAGGAGGUAUCACUUCUUUAGUGAAUAAAAGUUCAAAGUUCAUACCAAGUUGCCGUACUUUAAGCUCACGCUGAAGUUGGCUUAGUUCUGUAGUUUGAUAUGAGCCCUUUUAACGUCUGGACCGUCGUCCUCACGUCCUCGGGAACACAAAUGUAAAACUUUCGUAAAGGCCGUGUUUCAUAGUUCACAACCAAUGUCUGUUCACUUGGGCGGGGCCACUGAAUCGAGCCAAGUUCACUUAUGAAAACCAAUUCUCUCAUUUAGAAGCAAAAAUUACAUUUCAUCUUUUCACAAAUAGUUUCAUAUUUAAAUUGCACAACAAUUCCAUGUGAAUCUGAUAACUAGAGGGUGUAGACUUUCCCAGGUCCAGUUCAUGUCGUCCUGUCAUCAGUCCUAAUGUCUCAGAUCUGAUCUGACAUCAGAUUCAUUAACUACCAACGCGUAUUUGGACUACCGAAAUCUGGUUCUGGUCCCGACCCUUUUCAUGUUUUCAGACUCUCUAUGUUAACAAAGGGCUUUCCAAGAGUCACUCUGUAGAGUAGAGAGAGAGAGGAAAGGUAUUUAUGGGGGUCAUAAACCUCAACAACAGGCCAACGUCAUGACAGUAGUGAUGGUAUCUCUCUCUCUCUCUCUCUCUUCAAGGUGGAGUACAGUAGUGAUGGUAUCUCUCUCUCUCUAGGUGGAGUACAGUAGUGAUGGUAUCUCUCUCUCUCUUCAAGGUGGAGUACAGUAGUGAUGGUAUCUCUCUCUCUCUCAAGGUGGAGUACAGUAGUGAUGGUAUCUCUCUCUCUCUCUCUAGGUGGAGUACAGUAAUGAUGGUAUCUCUCUCUCUCUAGGUGGAGUACAGUAAUGAUGGUAUCUCUCUCUAGGUGGAGUACAGUAAUGAUGGUAUCUCUCUCUCUCUAGGUGGAGUACUGUAAUGAUGGUAUCUCUCUCUCUAGGUGGAGUACAGUAAUGAUGGUAUCUCUCUCUCUCU